rnacentral:rRNA from 1 species
GACGAAGGGGGCUAGCGUUGUUCGGAAUUACUGGGCGUAAAGCGCGUGUAGGUGGUUGUGCAAGUUGGCUGUGAAAGCCUUGAGCUCAACUCAAGAAAUGCAUUCAGGACUGGGCGGCUAGAGGACCGGAGAGGAUAGUGGAAUUCCCAGUGUAGUGGUGAAAUACGUAGAGAUUGGGAAGAACACCAGUGGCGAAGGCGGCUAUCUGGACGGUUUCUGACACUAAGACUCGAAAGCGUGGGGAGCAAACAGG